AUUUAAGAAAAUCACGAACUGAACAUCAGCCUUCUAGUGAUAGAUUGUGAAUGUGGCAGUGCAAAGAAAGCUCCUGGGCUUCAUCAAAUGUCACCAUGUCCUAGGCUUGUCGAACGACUUGAGGAACACAAAAGAAGCAAUUUUGAAGAAUGUUGGUAACAGAAAACCGUGGGUCCCCAUUGACCCCCCAUUUUGUGUUCUGCAGAAGAUAGAAAGUCAUACAGGUUUGAAAUGG